rnacentral:rRNA from 1 species
UGACCUUUAAUUGAGGCCUGGAAUGAAUGAAUAAAAUGGGGGGAACCUGUCUUUUUUACAUUAAUUAAAAAUUACUUAGGAGGUGAAAAUUCCUUUAAAAAUUUAAUAGACGAGAAGACCCUAGGAGUUUAAAAUAAAGGAAAAGUUUUGUUGGGGCGACAAUUUAACAAAAAACUUAAAGUUUAAAUGGAUUUUUAUAACGAUUUUUCUAAUUUAAAAUAAACUACCCUAGGGAUAACAGCAUAAUUUUUUUAAGUUUGUGACCUCGAUGUU